GCCUGGGUGGCUCAGUCAGUUGAGCGUCUGACUUCGGCUCAGAUCAUGAUCUCACAGUUUGUGAGUUCGAGCCCCGCAUUGGGCU
rnacentral:tRNA from 1 species